CGAAAGACCUGUCUCAGUUCGGAUUGGAGUCUGCAACUCGACUCCAUGAAGCUGGAUUCGCUAGUAAUCGCGCAUCAGCCAUGGCGCGGUGAAUACGUUCCCGGGCCUUGUACACACGCCCGUCAAGCCAUGGGAGCCGGGGGUGCCUGAAGUACGUGACCGCGAGGAGCGUCCUAGGGCAAAACUGGUGACUGGGGCUAAGUCGUAACAAGGUACC
rnacentral:rRNA from 1 species